UUAAGCGACUAAGCGUACACGGUGGAUGCCCUGGCAGUCAGAGGCGAUGAAGGACGUGCUAAUCUGCGAUAAGCGUCGGUAAGGUGAUAUGAACCGUUAUAACCGGCGAUUUCCGAAUGGGGAAACCCAGUGUGUUUCGACACACUAUCAUUAACUGAAUCCAUAGGUUAAUGAGGCGAACCGGGGGAACUGAAACAUCUAAGUACCCCGAGGAAAAGAAAUCAACCGAGAUUCCCCCAGUAGCGGCGAGCGAACGGGGAGCAGCCCAGAGCCUGAAUCAGUGUGUGUGUUAGUGGAAGCGUCUGGAAAGGCGCGCGAUACAGGGUGACAGCCCCGUACACAAAAAUGCACAUGCUGUGAGCUCGAUGAGUAGGGCGGGACACGUGGUAUCCUGUCUGAAUAUGGGGGGACCAUCCUCCAAGGCUAAAUACUCCUGACUGACCGAUAGUGAACCAGUACCGUGAGGGAAAGGCGAAAAGAACCCCGGCGAGGGGAGUGAAAAAGAACCUGAAACCGUGUACGUACAAGCAGUGGGAGCACAGAGCAAUCUGUGUGACUGCGUACCUUUUGUAUAAUGGGUCAGCGACUUAUAUUCUGUAGCAAGGUUAACCGAAUAGGGGAGCCGAAGGGAAACCGAGUCUUAACUGGGCGUUAAGUUGCAGGGUAUAGACCCGAAACCCGGUGAUCUAGCCAUGGGCAGGUUGAAGGUUGGGUAACACUAACUGGAGGACCGAACCGACUAAUGUUGAAAAAUUAGCGGAUGACUUGUGGCUGGGGGUGAAAGGCCAAUCAAACCGGGAGAUAGCUGGUUCUCCCCGAAAGCUAUUUAGGUAGCGCCUCGUGAAUUCAUCUCCGGGGGUAGAGCACUGUUUCGGCAAGGGGGUCAUCCCGACUUACCAACCCGAUGCAAACUGCGAAUACCGGAGAAUGUUAUCACGGGAGACACACGGCGGGUGCUAACGUCCGUCGUGAAGAGGGAAACAACCCAGACCGCCAGCUAAGGUCCCAAAGUCAUGGUUAAGUGGGAAACGAUGUGGGAAGGCCCAGACAGCCAGGAUGUUGGCUUAGAAGCAGCCAUCAUUUAAAGAAAGCGUAAUAGCUCACUGGUCGAGUCGGCCUGCGCGGAAGAUGUAACGGGGCUAAACCAUGCACCGAAGCUGCGGCAGCGACGCUUAUGCGUUGUUGGGUAGGGGAGCGUUCUGUAAGCCUGCGAAGGUGUGCUGUGAGGCAUGCUGGAGGUAUCAGAAGUGCGAAUGCUGACAUAAGUAACGAUAAAGCGGGUGAAAAGCCCGCUCGCCGGAAGACCAAGGGUUCCUGUCCAACGUUAAUCGGGGCAGGGUGAGUCGACCCCUAAGGCGAGGCCGAAAGGCGUAGUCGAUGGGAAACAGGUUAAUAUUCCUGUACUUGGUGUUACUGCGAAGGGGGGACGGAGAAGGCUAUGUUGGCCGGGCGACGGUUGUCCCGGUUUAAGCGUGUAGGCUGGUUUUCCAGGCAAAUCCGGAAAACUAAGGCUGAGGCGUGAUGACGAGGCACUACGGUGCUGAAGCAACAAAUGCCCUGCUUCCAGGAAAAGCCUCUAAGCAUCAGGUAACAUCAAAUCGUACCCCAAACCGACACAGGUGGUCAGGUAGAGAAUACCAAGGCGCUUGAGAGAACUCGGGUGAAGGAACUAGGCAAAAUGGUGCCGUAACUUCGGGAGAAGGCACGCUGAUAUGUAGGUGAAGUCCCUCGCGGAUGGAGCUGAAAUCAGUCGAAGAUACCAGCUGGCUGCAACUGUUUAUUAAAAACACAGCACUGUGCAAACACGAAAGUGGACGUAUACGGUGUGACGCCUGCCCGGUGCCGGAAGGUUAAUUGAUGGGGUUAGCGGUAACGCGAAGCUCUUGAUCGAAGCCCCGGUAAACGGCGGCCGUAACUAUAACGGUCCUAAGGUAGCGAAAUUCCUUGUCGGGUAAGUUCCGACCUGCACGAAUGGCGUAAUGAUGGCCAGGCUGUCUCCACCCGAGACUCAGUGAAAUUGAACUCGCUGUGAAGAUGCAGUGUACCCGCGGCAAGACGGAAAGACCCCGUGAACCUUUACUAUAGCUUGACACUGAACAUUGAGCCUUGAUGUGUAGGAUAGGUGGGAGGCUUAGAAGUGUGGACGCCAGUCUGCAUGGAGCCGACCUUGAAAUACCACCCUUUAAUGUUUGAUGUUCUAACGUGGACCCGUGAUCCGGGUUGCGGACAGUGUCUGGUAGGUAGUUUGACUGGGGCGGUCUCCUCCUAAAGAGUAACGGAGGAGCACGAAGGUUGGCUAAUCCUGGUCGGACAUCAGGAGGUUAGUGCAAUGGCAUAAGCCAGCUUGACUGCGAGCGUGACGGCGCGAGCAGGUGCGAAAGCAGGUCAUAGUGAUCCGGUGGUUCUGAAUGGAAGGGCCAUCGCUCAACGGAUAAAAGGUACUCCGGGGAUAACAGGCUGAUACCGCCCAAGAGUUCAUAUCGACGGCGGUGUUUGGCACCUCGAUGUCGGCUCAUCACAUCCUGGGGCUGAAGUAGGUCCCAAGGGUAUGGCUGUUCGCCAUUUAAAGUGGUACGCGAGCUGGGUUUAGAACGUCGUGAGACAGUUCGGUCCCUAUCUGCCGUGGGCGCUGGAGAACUGAGGGGGGCUGCUCCUAGUACGAGAGGACCGGAGUGGACGCAUCACUGGUGUUCGGGUUGUCAUGCCAAUGGCACUGCCCGGUAGCUAAAUGCGGAAGAGAUAAGUGCUGAAAGCAUCUAAGCACGAAACUUGCCCCGAGAUGAGUUCUCCCUGACUCCUUGAGAGUCCUGAAGGAACGUUGAAGACGACGACGUUGAUAGGCCGGGUGUGUAAGCGCAGCGAUGCGUUGAGCUAACCGGUACUAAUGAACCGUGAGGCUUAACCU
rnacentral:rRNA from 1 species